UUUAUAUGAGAGUUUGAUCCUGGCUCAGGAUGAACGCUGGCGGCGUGCCUAAUACAUGCAAGUCGAACGAGUUCUGAUUAUUGAAAGGUGCUUGCAUCUUGAUUUAAUUUUGAACGAGUGGCGGACGGGUGAGUAACACGUGGGUAACCUGCCCUUAAGUGGGGGAUAACAUUUGGAAACAGAUGCUAAUACCGCAUAAAUCCAARAACCGCAUGGUUCUUGGCUGAAAGAUGGCGUAAGCUAUCGCUUUUGGAUGGACCCGCGGCGUAUUAGCUAGUUGGUGAGGUAACGGCUCACCAAGGCAAUGAUACGUAGCCGAACUGAGAGGUUGAUCGGCCACAUUGGGACUGAGACACGGCCCAAACUCCUACGGGAGGCAGCAGUAGGGAAUCUUCCACAAUGGACGCAAGUCUGAUGGAGCAACGCCGCGUGAGUGAAGAAGGCUUUCGGGUCGUAAAACUCUGUUGUUGGAGAAGAAUGGUCGGCAGAGUAACUGUUGU
rnacentral:rRNA from 2 species